AACAGAGAAUUAACAGACAAACUGAUGGAAGGUAUGACAUUGCAACAAAUUUGUAGAUGAGGUAUGACAUUGAAAUUUUUUAAAGACGAAGUACGAAACUAUUAAUGACCCAAUAGUUGAGGUAGUUUUGUGUAAUUUACCCUUAAAAUAACUUCAAAGCGCUUUAGGUUAUCAAGAUGUUUAUGAUAAUGUUUGACAAGAAAAAACUAGAAAUGCAUUUGAGUUAUAAAAAAACAUUUGAAAUAAUUUCUAGAAGAAGCAUCUACUAUGUUUUUUUUUUUGGAAACAUUUUAAGUACGUACUUUUUCAAGAAACACUUGCAUUUUAUUAAAAAUAACGGAGUUAUUCUAAUAUAAGUGCUUUUAUGAAAAACGCUUCUAAAUAAAAAUACUUUUUAGAGACCUAACACACACACACACACACACACACACACACACACACAUAUAUAUUUUAUGCUUUUAUGAAAAACGCUUCUAAAUAAAAAUACUUUUUAGAGACCUAACACACACACACACUCACACACUCACACACACACACAUAUAUAUUUUAUUUUUGAGUAAACUGUCGAUUUGCCCCCUGAACUAUCACCCAACUUUCAAUUUCCCCCCUGAACUUUUUAAUUGGAAAAUUAAGGACUUAAACUAAUUUUUUUGGCCAAUUUCCCCCCUACAGUUAGUUUUUCAUAGAUUUCAUCCAAAUUAACGUUAACUCUUAUCAUAUGCAAACCACGUAACUCUCAUUUGUGGACAAAAGUGUCAUUUCACUAGACCUUUAGAUACAAAAGCUAUAGAAUCACACAUAUUU
rnacentral:lncRNA from 1 species